GGGAUGGGGCUGCGGCUACACAUGCAAGUCGAGCGGUAGCACAGAGAGCUUGCUCUCGGGUGACGAGCGGCGGACGGGUGAGUAAUGUCUGGGAAACUGCCUGAUGGAGGGGGAUAACUACUGGAAACGGUAGCUAAUACCGCAUAACGUCGCAAGACCAAAGAGGGGGACCUUCGGGCCUCUUGCCAUCAGAUGUGCCCAGAUGGGAUUAGCUAGUAGGUGGGGUAACGGCUCACCUAGGCGACGAUCCCUAGCUGGUCUGAGAGGAUGACCAGCCACACUGGAACUGAGACACGGUCCAGACUCCUACGGGAGGCAGCAGUGGGGAAUAUUGCACAAUGGGCGCAAGCCUGAUGCAGCCAUGCCGCGUGUAUGAAGAAGGCCUUCGGGUUGUAAAGUACUUUCAGCGAGGAGGAAGGCAUUGUGGUUAAUAACC
rnacentral:rRNA from 1 species